rnacentral:rRNA from 1 species
AUUGAACGCUGGCGGCAGGCCUAACACAUGCAAGUCGAGCGGAGGAAGGGAGCUUGCUCCUGGAUUCAGCGGCGGACGGGUGAGUAAUGCCUAGGAAUCUGCCUGGUAGUGGGGGAUAACGUCCGGAAACGGGCGCUAAUACCGCAUACGGCCUGAGGGAGAAAGUGGGGGAUCUUCGGACCUCACGCUAUCAGAUGAGCCUAGGUCGGAUUAGCUAGUUGGUGGGGUAAAGGCCUACCAAGGCGACGAUCCGUAACUGGUCUGAGAGGAUGAUCAGUCACACUGGAACUGAGACACGGUCCAGACUCCUACGGGAGGCAGCAGUGGGGAAUAUUGGACAAUGGGCGAAAGCCUGAUCCAGCCAUGCCGCGUGUGUGAAGAAGGUCUUCGGAUUGUAAAGCACUUUAAGUUGGGAGGAAGGGCAGUAAGUUAAUACCUUGCUGUUUUGACGUUACCAACAGAAUAAGCACCGGCUAACUUCGUG